rnacentral:rRNA from 1 species
UACGUAGGGGGCAAGCGUUGUCCGGAAUCAUUGGGCGUAAAGAGCGUGUAGGUGGCUCGGUAAGUCCGCUGUAAAAGUCCAGGGCUCAACCCUGGAAAGCCGGUGGAAACUGUCGAGCUAGAGUCCGGAAGAGGCGAGUGGAAUUCCUGGUGUAGCGGUGAAAUGCGCAGAUAUCAGGAGGAACACCAAUGGCGAAGGCAGCUCGCUGGGACGGUAUUGACACUGAGACGCGAAAGCGUGGGGAGCAAACAGG